rnacentral:rRNA from 1 species
GAUGAACGCUGGCGGCGUGCCUAACACAUGCAAGUCGAGCGAUCUCUUCGGAGAGAGCGGCGGACGGGUGAGUAACGCGUGGGUAACCUGCCCUGUACACACGGAUAACAUACCGAAAGGUAUGCUAAUACGGGAUAAUAUAUAAAAGUCGCAUGGCUUUUAUAUCAAAGCUUUUGCGGUACAGGAUGGACCCGCGUCUGAUUAGCUAGUUGGUAAGGUAACGGCUUACCAAGGCGACGAUCAGUAGCCGACCUGAGAGGGUGAUCGGCCACACUGGAACUGAGACACGGUCCAGACUCCUACGGGAGGCAGCAGUGGGGAAUAUUGCACAAUGGGCGAAAGCCUGAUGCAGCAACGCCGCGUGAGCGGUGAAGGCCUUCGGGUCGUAAAGCUCUGUCCUCAAGGAAGAUUAUGACGGUACUUGAGGAGGAAGCCCCGGCUAACUACGUGCCAGCCGCCGCAGUAA